CCUACGGGGGGCUGCAGUAGGGAAUAUUGCACAAUGGGGGAAACCCUGAAGCAGCGACGCCGCGUGGAGGAUGGAGGUUUUCGGAUUGUAAACUCCUUUCGUUAGAGAAGAUAAUGACGGUAUCUAACGAAUAAGCACCGGCUAACUCCGUGCCAGCAGCCGCGGUAAUACGGAGGGUGCAAGCGUUACUCGGAUUCACUGGGCGUAAAGAGCGCGUAGGCGGGAACGCAAGUCAGAUGUGAAAGCCUAGGGCUUAACCAUAGAACUGCAUUUGAAACUGUUAGUCUAGAGUAUGGGAGGGGUAGGUGGAAUUCUUGGUGUAGGGGUGAAAUCCGUAGAGAUCAAGAGGAAUACUCAUGGCGAAGGCGACCUGCUAGACCAUAACUGACGCUGAGGCGCGAAGGCGUGGGGAGCAAACAGGAUUAGAUACCCGUGUAGUC
rnacentral:rRNA from 1 species